CUUCUUUUGUUUCCACAAAGGAUGAGAACCUAUAGAUUCAUUCCAGGCUAAUAUGGUUUGAUGGACCAUGAAGCCCCGAAAGGUCACUAUGAACACCUCCCAAAAUACUUCACUAUUAUGAGUCUGUAAGGACAGAAACUAGAUGAGUCCAUUGAAGGACAAGUCUGGGGCAAGUCCAGGAGAGAGCGGCACUAGCAGACAUGUGUGCCAGUGAUGAUAAGAGUGACGUAUAGGCAGACAGGAGUGUUAAUCUGGAGUGUGACGUAGGAAGAAGUGAAGUGAGGCUGAAUAAUAGUAUAAAAAGUGAGGCAAAGGGACCAGAAACCAUUCUCAAGAUGAUCUGCUAGAGAAUCUGUCGGAGAGGUGCCAGAGAAACUCUACAGCAUUGAGAAUCAAUCAAUCAAUCAACCAACGAGACAUUGGACCAGAGAUCUUCCAAGAGCCAGAGAACUUGCUCUUGCCUGCAGAUCAAGACUUGCUGAUCCAGAGGUCUACAUCGAGAGUCACGAACCAUCAUCAGUUCUUCCCCCAGUGGCCUUCUGUGUUGAAUUGCCUUGAUAGCUCAACACCCUCAAGGGAUGGAAUUCUGUGAGUCACUGGGGACUCAAAUGUGGAGUGUGAUGGAAGAAUUUCUAAAAGGAAGACAAGAAUCCAUAAUUGUAUAUUUCCUAGAAAAAUUUCAAUAACAAAUACUUAGAAGACUGAGGUAAAUGGAACAUCAUUGAUUCAAGGUCACCCUGAGCUAGCACAGUAAAACCAUGUCUCAAAACAUUAGAAAAAGAGCCUGGUAGUGGGGGUGCAUACCUUUAGUCCCAGUACUUAAGAAGCAGAUGCAGACCAGUCUCUGUGAGUGCAAGGCCAAUCUGGUAUACAGAGAGAGUUCCAGGACAUUCCAGGAUAUAGAGAAACCAUAUUGCAAACAAAACAAAAAAGCAGGGAGGAAUUCUAGCUACUCAAGAUGCUAAGGCAAGAGAAGCAAGAGUUCAAGUCCUACCUGGGCAGUCUAGUGA